rnacentral:lncRNA from 1 species
AGGAGAUGCACGAGGGAUGAUGGUUGCAACUGUCAAGCAUCCAAAAGCACGUAACAGUAUAAUUAAUAUAGUCCAUAUGACUCAUGUGCUACAGUCUGAAUACCCAAAUCUACAUACUGUCAAAGAGUGUCAAGACCAUACCAAGCAAAGAAAAUCCAACCCUGAGGAGGGCAGGUGGACGGAAGGAGGGCAAAAAAUGUUCCCUUGAAUGAACACUCGUGGUGAAGGGGUCAGCGUGCCAGGGCUUAAAAAACAAAUGACAGGAAAUGACAGACUUUAAGGAAAAACCUCAGUGAGACCUGAUGCUAAUCGGAACAAGACUGUGGAUGUGGCAGCCCUGCUAUCACCUAUCUUCCAGCACUAUAGGCAACUCAUAUUGAGGGAACACUUUACAUUCUUGUCAUUUUGAACAAACAACACCUUCAAACACCAGAUAGGACACCAUUGUCAGCUCUGUCUGAUCUGGUCUGUCCAUCAAUCUGUGGUGUGUGUGUGUGUGUGUGGUGUGUGUGUGUGUGUGUGUGUGUGUGUGUGUGUGUGUGUGUGUGUGUGUGUGUGUGUGUGUGUGUGUGUGUGUGUGUGUGUGUGUGUGUGUGUGUGAAGAGGGAAUUAGGGGAAGGAAACUGGCAAGGUUGAAUAAUAAGAAAAGCAUAGAUGCUAGACGUGCCCACCUGUUCAUUAACUAAUUAAUCACAAGACUUAUGGUGCUAUCCUGAUUGUAAGAAAGGAUGAUGCUACUUUUUUUUAAAUCCAAAACCAACUAUGAAGGUCAUUUUUGCUGCAUCAAUACCAAUACUAAUACAUUGAUUAAACAGUUGUAAUCGCUAAUUAGUAUUAUAUUUGUAACUGAAAAUUCAAUAUUUAAACAAUUAUAAGAUUUUCUGAUUUUGUUUAUCAUACAGUAUAUUUAUUUAUUAUUUUUAUUUUUUUAUUUUUAUUUUAGUUUAUAGUUUUUAUUUUAAUGUAUUUUAAAGAAGUCUUAUGCUUACCAGUGCAGCAUGUAUUUGAUCAAAAAUACAGUAAAAAC